rnacentral:rRNA from 1 species
CCUACGGUAGGCAGCAGUGAGGAAUAUUGGUCAAUGGGCGGAAGCCUGAACCAGCCAAGUAGCGUGCGGGAUGAAGGCCCUACGGGUCGUAAACCGCUUUUGCACGGGGAUAACACCCUCCACUUGUGGAGGUCUGCAGGUACCGUGCGAAUAAGGGCCGGCUAAUUCCGUGCCAGCAGCCGCGGUAAUACGGAAGGCCCGAGCGUUAUCCGGAUUCAUUGGGCUUAAAGGGAGCGUAGGCGGGCGUUCAAGUCAGCGGUAAAAUCGCGCGGCUCAACCGCGCCCCGCAGUUGAAACUGGACGCCUUGAGUUCACAACAGGCAGGCGGAAUUCGUGGUGUAGCGGUGAAAUGCAUAGAUAUCACGAGGAACCCCGAUUGCGAAGGCAGCCUGCCGGGGUGCGACUGACGCUGAGGCUCGAAGGUGCGGGUAUCAAACAGGAUUAGAUACCCCUGUAGUC